GACAGGUUAGUUUUACCCUAC
rnacentral:snRNA from 1 species